UCCCUAGUGGCUCAGAUGGUACAGUGUCUGCUUACAAUGCGGGAGACCUGGGUUCAAUCCCUAGGUUGGGAA
rnacentral:tRNA from 1 species